GCACAAAAACAUCCCAAGGUCUGCUUUUGGCAGAGCAAAUUUCCCUGCCAGGAGCAGAACAAGAGGUUACAACAGAUCUACUGCUUUUCUCUCUGGAAAUGGACCCAUCAAUGAUGUUCAUGGGAGCAACUUGCAGCUUAACAGCUCUGGCAUUAGUACAGGAAGGCAGCUCCCAGGACAUGAGAAUGCCAGCAGGUUCUUCAAAGGGAGUAUGAGGGUGGUGCUGUUGCAGAACCAACAAGGGCCACACUCUCCUUUUAUGGGCUUGGGGACUAUGAAGAGAAGGUCAGACUUGUACUGGGGAACUCUUUUUGUAGCCUUGCGUGCUGGGGACAUUCUCCUUUAAACCACAUUUGAUGGAAACCACAAAAAAGCCCACUGCUAACGUGUGGUACAGCCAGCAGUGCCUGUGGGUCGUGAGCUUAUUUUGAAAGGAAUCAGGACUUUGUACGGCAUCUGCUUCAGCAAGACUUCAGACUGGGGCUUUCCACCACGCUGGAAAUGCAUAAUAUUGAUGAAACAGCACUCCUGCAUGGGAGUGUGAUGUGACUG